GGGGAUGUAGCUCAGUGGUAGAGCGCACGCUUUGCAUGUGUGAGGUUUAAUCACUGGCACCUCCA
rnacentral:tRNA from 1 species